UGCGAGUCUUUGUAGUAAUACAAGGCAGACGGCUCAGUAACACGUAGUCAACCUACCCUAUGGACAAGAAUAAUCUCGGGAAACUGGGCAUAAUUCUUGAUAGAUCAUAAUGCCUGGAAUGGUUUAUGGUUAAAAUGAUUCGUCGCCAUAGGAUGGGACUGCGGCCUAUCAGCUUGUCGGUGAGGUAAUGGCCCACCAAGGCGAUUACAGGUACGGGCUCUGAGAGGAGAAGCCCGGAGAUGGGUACUGAGACACGGACCCAGGCCUUAUGGGGCGCAGCAGGCGAGAAAACUUUGCAAUGUGCGAAAGCACGACAAGGUUAAUCCGAGUGGUUUCUGCUAAAGGAACCUUUUGACAGUCCUAGAAACACUGUUGAAUAAGGGGUGGGCAAGUUCUGGUGUCAGCCGCCGCGGUAAAACCAGCACCUCAAGUGGUCAGGAUGAUUAUUGGGCCUAAAGCAUCCGUAGCCGGCUCAGUAAGUUUUCGGUUAAAUCUGUACGCUCAACGUACAGGCUGCCGGGAAUACUGCGGAGCUAGGGAGUGGGAGAGGUAGACGGUACUCGGGAGGAAGUGGUAAAAUGCUUUGAUCUUUCGAUGACCACCUGUGGCGAAGGCGGUCUACCAGAACACGUCCGACGGUGAGGGAUGAAAGCUGGGGGAGCAAACCGGAUUAGAUACCCGGGUAGUCCCAGCUGUAAGCCAUGCAAACUCAGUGAUGCAUUGGCUUGUGGCCAAUGCAGUGUUGCA
rnacentral:rRNA from 1 species